CAGGCACUUCUCUCAUCAGUGGACCGUGAUUGUCUGAGUGGUUGGGGAGGACAUGUUUACAUUGUAACACCAACAGAGAUUAAGGAGAGGAUCCUAAAGGGAAGGAUGGACUGAUCAGCUUCUUCUUCUAUCCAAGUUGUUUUUCAUUGUAAUCCGGUUUUAAGUAGCGUAACCUUCACAUCCCGGUUUAAUCAUAUGAUCAUCCCUUCUCUGAAA